rnacentral:rRNA from 1 species
UACGGAGGGGGCUAGCGUUGUUCGGAAUCACUGGGCGUAAAGGGUGCGUAGGCGGGUCUUUAAGUCAGGGGUGAAAUCCUGGGGCUCAACUCCAGAACUGCCUUUGAUACUGAAGAUCUUGAGUUCGGGAGAGGUGAGUGGAACUGCGAGUGUAGAGGUGAAAUUCGUAGAUAUUCGCAAGAACACCAGUGGCGAAGGCGGCUCACUGGCCCGAUACUGACGCUGAGGCACGAAAGCGUGGGGAGCGAACAGG